rnacentral:rRNA from 1 species
GGUAUAGUUCUUCGGAACUAGAGACCGGCGCACGGGUGCGUAACGCGUAUGCAAUCUACCUUUUACAGAGGGAUAGCCCAGAGAAAUUUGGAUUAAUACCUCAUAGCAUAGCAAUCUCGCAUGAGAUCACUAUUAAAGUCACAACGGUAAAAGAUGAGCAUGCGUCCCAUUAGCUAGUUGGUAAGGUAACGGCUUACCAAGGCUACGAUGGGUAGGGGUCCUGAGAGGGAGAUCCCCCACACUGGUACUGAGACACGGACCAGACUCCUACGGGAGGCAGCAGUGAGGAAUAUUGGACAAUGGGCGCAAGCCUGAUCCAGCCAUGCCGCGUGCAGGAUGACGGUCCUAUGGAUUGUAAACUGCUUUUAUACGAGAAGAAACACUCCAACGUGUUGGAGCUUGACGGUAUCGUAAGAAUAAGGAUCGGCUAACUCCGUGCCAGCAGCCGCGGUAAUACGGAGGAUCCAAGCGUUAUCCGGAAUCAUUGGGUUUAAAGGGUCCGUAGGCGGUUUAGUAAGUCAGUGGUGAAAGCCCAUCGCUCAACGGUGGAACGGCCAUUGAUACUGCUAAACUUGAAUUAUUAGGAAGUAACUAGAAUAUGUAGUGUAGCGGUGAAAUGCUUAGAGAUUACAUGGAAUACCAAUUGCGAAGGCAGGUUACUACUAAUGGAUUGACGCUGAUGGACGAAAGCGUGGGUAGCGAACAGGAUUAGAUUACCCUGGUAGUCCACGCCGUAAACGAUGGAUACUAGCUGUUGGGAGCAAUCUCAGUGGCUAAGCGAAAGUGAUAAGUAUCCCACCUGGGGAGUACGUUCGCAAGAAUGAAACUCAAAGGAAUUGACGGGGGCCCGCACAAGCGGUGGAGCAUGUGGUUUAAUUCGAUGAUACGCGAGGAACCUUACCAAGGCUUAAAUGUAGAUUGACCGGUUUGGAAACAGAUCUUUCGCAAGACAAUUUACAAGGUGCUGCAUGGUUGUCGUCAGCUCGUGCCGUGAGGUGUCAGGUUAAGUCCUAUAACGAGCGCAACCCCUGUUGUUAGUUGCCAGCGAGUCAUGUCGGGAACUCUAACAAGACUGCCAGUGCAAACUGUGAGGAAGGUGGGGAUGACGUCAAAUCAUCACGGCCCUUACGCCUUGGGC